GUCAUAUAAGUAUUUAUACCGUUUUUCCAGUGAUGUAGACUUUCUGUUUAGUGUACUGUUAUGUAUUGUAGCGUGUAGUUUGUUACCUUUGGUGUCCUAAACUGGGACGAGCUGGCGCUAGUUUACCGUUUACGAUGAUGGUUAUCGACAAAUUACACCUGUCAAAAAAUGUAACGUUUGCCUGACUCCACUGAUAUAUAUGUAUGUGUAAGAUUUAAUGUUAGCAAGGUUACCAACUCUCACGCCUCUGGCGUGUUACACACGCUCUCACGCUAAAACAUUGCGAAAGCGGAGACGAACAGAGAUGAAGAGAUGAAGUCAGAGUCUUUUUGGUAUAGAGUGAUGGUUAAACUACGCAAUUUUUUUUAACAGUUAUAUACGGGGCUGUAAUGGAGACUACACGCACAUGAGCGCCGUUUAGCAACCUCUUAAAUUCUGAAAUAGCGUUUACGCAGACGUCCCUUUACAGCAGUUAACGGCUCAGACCGGCCUUCUACCGCAGCUUCUGUUGUAUCUUCUACGAGCGCUCGUUUUGUUUUCCAUUUGAACGUUGUAUCCUUGUAUGAGACACGGAGACAGCUGUUACCGUUAAAAUGCGAUGACCAACAAUCUACCGACCACUCCUGCUACGCGGGUGUCUUAAUCAAAUAAACCCUCUUUGCUGAAGCCAGCAGGUAGACUGGAGCCGCUUUCAUGAGACAGACGAAUGAAUCAGAGUUCAGAGGAUCAUUAACUGACGUGCAGCAUCAAAUAAUAAUGUCAGACAAAGGACCACAAAAGUGUGAAGGAAUCAGGAGAGAGGAGACAGAAGUGAGGAAGAAUUGCAGAAUCGUCGUCUGAUAGAGAGACAUGAACAGAUUCAAGGCAGGAAAACUGACUCUCUCACUCUCCCUCUUAUCUCUGCACAUUACUGAAGUGGAGUCACAGAGCUUCAGUGUAAGUGUGAAGUUUUCACUCAGUUUAAAACGUUUUCAACUUGCUUUGAGUUCAUUCACUUUGUGUUCAGUCUGAGCACACAUUGAAAUUUAUUCAAAACUAAAAACAUGUUAAUAAUUAAAAUCAUUUGAAUAUUAAAAUAUGAUUAAGAAGAA